rnacentral:tRNA from 1 species
ACCUAGCUGGCUCAGUUGGAAGAGCAUGAAGCUCUUGAUCUUGGGGUUAUGAGUUCAAGCCCCGUGCUAAGUA